AGGAUGAACGCUAGCGGCAGGCUUAAUACAUGCAAGUCGUGGGGCAGCACAGGUAGCAAUACUGGGUGGCGACCGGCAAACGGGUGCGGAACACGUACGCAACCUUCCUUCAAGUGGGGGAUAGCCCAGGGAAACUUGGAUUAAUACCCCGUAAUAUUAUGAGGUGGCAUCAUCUUAUAAUUAUAGCUACGGCGCUUGGAGAUGGGCGUGCGGCUGAUUAGGUAGUUGGCGGGGUAACAGCCCACCAAGCCUGCGAUCAGUAACUGGUGUGAGAGCACGACCAGCCACACUGGGACUGAGACACGGCCCAGACUCCUACGGGAGGCAGCAGUGGGGAAUCUUGGACAAUGGGGAAACCCUGAUCCAGCCAUGCCGCGUGAGUGAUGAAGGCCUUCGGGUUGUAAACUCUUUUACCAGGGAAGAUAAUGACUGUACCUGGAGAAUAAGCCCGGCUAACUUCGUGCCAGCAGCCGCGGU
rnacentral:rRNA from 1 species